UGUCUUUUAAAUAAGCCUGUAUGAAUGGCAAAACGAAAGCUCAACUGUCUCUUUUAAUUAAUCAAUGAAAUUGAUCUUUCCGUGCAGAAGCGGAAAUAAUUUUAUAAGACGAGAAGACCCUAUGGAGCUUUAAACAAAUAUUAGUUAUUUAUAAAAUAAAAGUAAUAAGAGUUUUAGGUUGGGGCGACCGUGGAGAAAAAACUAACCUCCAAGAUAAAUAUUAGAAAUACACAUCAAAAUAAUAAAAAUUUAACAUAUUUGAUCCAAUAAUUGAUCAACGAACCAAGUUACCCUAGGGAUAACAGCGCAAUCUUCUCAAAGAGUCCUUAUCGACGAGUAGGUUUACGACCUCGAUGUUGGAUCAGGACACCCAAAUGGUGUAACCGUUAUUUAAGNNNNNGUUUGUU
rnacentral:rRNA from 1 species